rnacentral:lncRNA from 1 species
GCCCUAAAGGCCAACCCUUUUGGAGGUGCUUAUCAUGCAAAAGGAAUCGUGCUGGAAAAAGUAGGAGUUGAAGCCAAACAGCCAAAUUCUGCCAUUAGGAAGUGUGUAAGGGUCCAGCUGAUCAAGAAUGGCAAGAAAAUCACAGCCUUUGUACCCAACGACGGUUGCUUAAACUUUAUUGAGGAAAAUGAUGAAGUUCUGGUUGCUGGAUUUGGUCGCAAAGGUCAUGCUGUUGGUGAUAUUCCUGGAGUCCGCUUUAAGGUUGUCAAAGUAGCCAAUGUUUCUCUUUUGGCCCUAUACAAAGGCAAGAAGGAAAGACCAAGAUCAUAA